GCAGCUCGGCUCGUUUGCUGCGGGAAUAUGGCUGCUGGCGUGCUCGGUUUCGCUGGAACUCGGCAUCUGAAAAACCAGUCCGGCCAUGUUGAUGCUGGCCAUGACUUUGGUCGGAGGACGGACCGAACUUCUCAUGAUUUCCACAGGUGUAAGUGUCACAGGAAGAAGAAGAAGAGCCACUUCUGGUUAUCUCGGCCUCGAGCCGCUUCAUCACCUCCAUCACAG
rnacentral:lncRNA from 1 species